GGGGGAUUAACUCAGCUGGGAGAGCGCUUGCAUGGCAUGCAAGAGGUCAUCGGUUCAAAUCCGUUAUCCUCCAC
rnacentral:tRNA from 1 species